rnacentral:sRNA from 1 species
CGCCGGCUGUUCUUUUUACAGAAAACAUUUCUAUGGAGACAUCACCAUUGGCUUGAUAGUACCUUUGGGGCUUUUUAUCGAUACCUAUUUUUGGCUAUAUAAAACGACAACUUAUCCUACUGAUGACUGUUUGCUGCUUGUGUACAAACGUUUUCAAGAGAAAUACAUUUACAUAGAUGACGCACCCAUUACUAAUAUGGCAGGAAAGAUAAACGUGUCAGGGGUCAACGAUUACGUGGCCCUAGAUGUUGAGAUUCCAGUGAAUUGGAACAUGAUUAUCCAUCAGGUGUACAGCAAGAAUGCACACAAAUUCGGAGCUUAUCUGUACGGGAGACAUUCGGCUACUGAAUAUCGUAUCUCUAUUACACCGCUGGGUUUUGUUGCGUAUAAU